GGUAGUGCAAAAGUCACGCGUCCACGCCGUUUAGGCACGACCCAAACAAACGGUAGCCGAUGGUGUUCGGUAAUCUACCAAAAUGUCGAGAUGCUGUUCACUGUGCAAAAGCAUGCUCUUUGCAUUGACUUCCGAAGGAUCACAACUUUCAGAACCGGGGACAGUACGAAGCAGGAUUUUCAGAUCGGUUACUCCUCGAAAACGACUCAGUUCCCUCUUUAAUGGGAUAUACAGGAUUAAAACCUGAACCAAAUCCCAACACUUCUUCACUCAAGCCCCAUUCCAUGAUGUAGGAUCCCUAACGGACCCACCUCAGUGGGCACACAGAGGUAAUCACCAAAGACGGUCUCGCUCCGCACACAGCUGUCCGGGGGUACACUGAGGGAUCACGUGAGAAGCAAAGGAAUCCAGGUAACGGUGGGAUGUCUCAGCGUGGGCACGGAAACCGUGUCCAGUUGACACGGUUACGGUGGCAUCUCCCCCAUUCAUCUCCCCCAUUCAUCUACACCUGUAAAAGGCCCAGGAUUCAGACCCAGCAAGAUACUCUGUUUGGAAGAGGAAGACUUAUCUGCAGAGUUUCAAUCUGAUCCGCUUGACUGAUCGUAUAACCCUGGGGAUUCUGUUACAGAGGAAUCCGAAAUAUGGUUUGGUCCUACGUACGGUGACCGAAAGUCAGACGCGCUGCUUGUGAACAGGCAAGGCUGGUUACUGCUUGGGAGGCUGGUUACUGCUUGGGGGGCUGGUUACUGCUUGGGGGGGCUGGUUACUGCUUGGGGCACCCCCCAGGCAGGCAGACAUAACUUCCUCCACAGUAAAGUCUCAAAAUGUGGCAACCGCAACUCCCCCUCCCCUUUAAAUACAGAUGCUUGAUUUGCCACAACGUCGGAAACCUCCCCAAUGUGCUCCAUUUCAUUCCCGGUAAAUUUUUAUGAUUGAUUCCCACAGCGUCCUCAAAGUUUGCAUUGAAAAUGAAAAGGUGUUAUCCAUCUGGAAGUGACAAAAGAAAGAAAAAAAAACGGCAACAUGUGCCAUGACUGCUAAAAGUCUUUCAACAAUAUGUACCCUGUUUUUUUUGCAAAUCUAAACAUUUUAAAUAAAAUAAUUUAUAUAAUUUGAUUUUGUAAAUUUUUCAAUGGUGUCACAUUGUUUAUAAUAUAAUGGUUAUGUACACUGGUUGGCGGGCCCCCCUAGGAAUAUUUUGCCUAUGGCCCUAAGUGACUCUAGAAUCGCCACUGCCCGAAGUACAAUGUUUUUGAAAGCUGCCUCAGAGAGCUGUUUGAAAUCUGUCCGGUGUGCAAGACAAAUUGAGGUCCAGCAACAGACAGGCAUGUUCAACCAGCAUGGCAGAAUCGGUAAUGACUCAAGACGGUGGCAGAGCCAGCCCAUGUAAGUACGACACCCGUUGGCCACCUCCUGCCAUCAGCUGCCACUUGUUUCCCCCGGUGCGUCGUUGUGCCAACUUUCAACUGUAUUAGUGUUACCAUAUGGAAUUUGUGGGAUUUUCCGACAUAUUUUCCUAUUUUUCAUAUAAUCCUUGCUCUAUAAGCUGAAACUUGUAGAUGAGUUGGUCGCUGCCAAAAAACACCUUAGGGCCUGAGAAGGCGGCCAAGUGGAAGUCAGUUGUCAACCACAUCCAGAAUUUGCAUGCAUGAAGACCACCUCUUCCCCAAGUGGUGGCAUCCUGACAGUGUAUCGGAAUCCAAGUAAACGGUUGCAAUCAGGUAUGGUAACAAAAUGUGCUGGUAAAAUAUAAACGUGUAUUCUAGACGGGUAAGGAAAAAUCCAUUGCACUGGUUGAGUUAUGAUUACAUACAUAUAGAUAACUACAUCAUCUCAUGGACUUCUUAAUGCAGGCCCCUAGGGCACAAACACGCAUACAUAGUACGCGUUUAUCUUUCCUGAAUGUAUUCUAGAGGAUUGUAGACGGGAUAAAUCCAUUUAAAAAGCAUACAAACUUGCCAGAACCACUUCUGGCUCCAUUCCGUAUGGAGUAUGACGAAUCUGUCAUACUUGUGACAACAGUUGUUUGAUGGUUUGUUAACAAGAUAUUAUUAUGUGAAAAUACUUUGUCACUGGAAAUCCUGGGUAGUGCAUUAAGUCUCUGUGCUGACCGACAGACACUGUGAAACCAGAUCCUAAGACCGCACACACACA